ensembl:lncRNA LINC02828 long intergenic non-protein coding RNA 2828
AGACGUUGCUGCUGUGGCUUAGGAGAGGAGCAGCCCAGUCUGACUCGUGGAUUUUUACCCACUGCUGUCAGAACACACUUUCUGUUAGAAUCCCCCAAGACCUCAGACCUACAGCCUGCCCCUUAGGUGGUUCACUGUCUUCAUCGAAACGUUUGCCGCCGAGUCGCACGUCCUUGGCACCAAAAAGCGUUGAGUCCAUUUUUCAAAGCUCUAAUGUGCUCUUUAAAACACAGUUAUAGCUGGUGGAACUUGGAGAGCUGUGGCUUCCUGUGGUUGUUGAAGGUGACGGUCAUCUUGAUCCUGGCUGGGCAGUGCUGGAGCAGCUUCCCCACCUGGGGAUCUCACUGGCUAUCCUUCUCCUCAACUUGGAUGUUUAGUUGUCUUUUUAUUUCUUUGUUUAUUGUUGCUAUUGGCUUUGUUUGUGGGUUUAUUUCUUAUUUUGGGACUUUUAGCACAUAAAGUUGGAGAUAAUGAAUGGGAACAGAAUGGGAAAGAGUGGAUAUAAUGAUACACCACAUACCCAUCACCUACUUUCAAUAAUUACCUACACUUUCCCAGUCUUCUUCCAUGUAUUCCCCAUACUCUAUUGUCUAUUUUUCUGGAGAAUUUUGAAGUAAAUCUAAUAUAUCAUACC